rnacentral:rRNA from 1 species
GGGACGAACGCCGGCGGCGCGCCUAACACAUGCAAGUCGAGCGAGAACCAGGGCUUGCCCUGGGGACAGCGGCGAACGGGUGCGUAACACGUGAGCAACCUGCCCCAAAGACCGGGACAACCCGAGGAAACUCGGACUAAUACCGGAUGCCCUCACCGGGUCGCAUGGUCUGGUGAGGAAAUGGAUUCCGCUUUGGGAUGGGCUCGCGGUCUAUCAGCUUGGUUGGUGGGUAACGCCUACCAAGGCGACGACGGAUAGC